rnacentral:rRNA from 1 species
AUGGGGGUUGUCCUUGAGCUUCACCGAGUCGCAACUAGGUGUUAUUCAAAUGUUGUAUACUUGGAACUGAUGGUUCUGAAGCUGUAUGGCAUGGUAAGUGGCAGCCCGAACACAACACCAAGAACAUGGGAUCCUGGAAUUCUAAAGGUUGUUCAUAUGGUUUCCUCGUUCCCUAUUUGCCGGGUUAUGCACAUGGUCCAAUUGUUCAACCAUGAUAGUGCAGCUUUUGCAUUCCUUGGAUUGGAGCAUUUAACCGUACUGGACAAGGGACAUUCCACCUUGAUUUCAACGACUGCAGCGAUCGUCACUUGUUUUUCUUCUUCAACCUUCAAAUACAAGUGGGAGUGUUGUGUCAGACGACAGUGGGACCCUGGUAUUUUCCUGAACAGUGUUAGAAUUGUGGCCUACAGUAGUAGCACACUAGCUAAGAAAUAUUGCAAAAAACUACUCUGCUUCCUGCACACAACGUUCCCAGCUCAUGCUUUUGCCAAGCUACUUAAUUUUUGGUCUAGGGUGCUGUUGUUUAUUUUGCUUGUGCCAAACCUUUAUCCAGGGCAGCAAUGUGAGCAUGUUCUUGGUACCCCUGAUGGCCGAGUGUUUAUUCAAGGCAAAGUAUUUGGACUACUGCAGUUCUUAAAAACACCACCGGCUAUAUCAAUGGUGUACUGGUGGCAGGCAGUUCACGGGAUGCUUUCAUUACAAGGAUACAAUGCUCUAUAUCCCUUGCUUAUUUUGACUGCCCAUAUUCAACUUAAUCUGCAGCCCAGUUUGCUUACAGGAAGCACAAUGACUCUCCAUGGGUUUUCUCAUUCCUAUAAAUACAAUCAAUCUUCAUUUACUAUUCAACGAAGCUGUCUUAUAGUCCUCUUAGCACCUGAGUUACAAAAACGGUAUACAGGUUCAGAGGUUCACUUGUACCAUCAGACCAAGCAAGGGAUUUGUUUGGCCUGCUUGCCACCAGGUAAUUCUCCUCUACGGCGGACAACUUGCUGUUGGAUAACUGAAUUACGCAUUGCUUCAGUGUAUGCUUGUGGGAAAGAUAUGCUACAAUUAUUAUUGGAACUUAAUACCAGUGAGCACCGGUUUCAUGGCAUUUGGAGCAUCUUCACACAAACUAGCACUAGUUGCAGGGUUGCAAGUGAAGCAUUGGAAUGCCAAGAUGAUAAAUUGGAAACGUACUACAUUCCAAGUGAUCUCCUAUUCGGGUACGCUCCAGCUAGUACCUGCUACAUUCUUGCUCAUUCUGUUUGUGUAUGCCAAAAGGAUAUGCUGGAAACUCACUACUUUCACGAGAUCACACAAUAUUAUUCCAUGAAGUUUGUGCCACCGCUUUCAGUACAGUCUGAUGGUCUUGGAAUUAUACUGGUAUAUUUACAUUCAACUUUACUUGGCCAAUUGCUUUUGGACCACUAUCACUGCACCCCGAACUUAGCCUUGCAAAGUGAUGCCUUCAUACUGUUUACAUGGUCGAGCACAACAAUUUCUACUAUAAAAUCAGCGUGGUGGUUUCGCUUCAUGGCCUGGAAGAUACAUCAAGGAGGUCGUAUUACUGCUACGAGCUAUCCCGUGAAGACGUCCCUACAGUUGCAGUACGAGUUACUAUGGCGACAACCAUGUAUUGUGCUUGAGGACAAGCAGAAUCUCAAGGGAGGGAGAGUGUCAUGUCCUUGGUCCAUGACUUGUACCAGCAUGUGUCCGUGUGUGGGUUCGGUGUAUUGGAAUGGGGCCCAAAGGGCAAUGUGUGUGAGAACGACUUUAAAGGCCAGGACCUUGUGCUUCGAGGGGCAUGUUGAUGAAUGUAUGUUCUGA